rnacentral:rRNA from 1 species
AAAGCGUGCGCAGGCGGUUUUGUAAGACUGUCGUGAAAUCCCCGUGCUCAACCUGGGAAUGGCGAUGGUGACUGCAAGGCUAGAGUUUGGCAGAGGGGGGUAGAAUUCCACGUGUAGCAGUGAAAUGCGUAGAUAUGUGGAGGAACACCGAUGGCGAAGGCAGCCCCCUGGGUCAAAACUGACGCUCAUGCACGAAAGCGUGGGGAGCAAACAGGAUUAGAUACCCCGGU